GGGCAGGCACUUAAGUGUCACUUCUCUUCCCUUACUCACGGGGGGUGGCCGCCACUUUGUGAAAGGGAUUUUCAGCAUAAGACCAGGACUUAGAAGGUAUUGUUGCUGUCUCAGGAACUGUGUGCAUGCGUUCCAUGUGAGGGCAGAGAGCUGGCAGGUGAGACUCCAGUACCGGGAGAAGUUGGGUGCAGAAAGGCUGGCAAGUAAGCUCCCUUGCUGCUGCAUGUUGCUGCCUUGGGGCAGCCCCGCAGAUGCAUCCUCUCUGGACCUGGAUUCUGGCGCUGGUGACUCAAAGCAGCAGGGAUGACGCAGAGCCCACUCUGGCCAGCGCACAGCAGCCGUGGCAGCUGCAUCCGGUUUCCGGGGCAGGAGAGACAGCUGUUAUGUGGCAGUGUGCAAGGUCCUGCGCCCAAGGACUCAGCCGUCUGAACCACAGGGCCAGAGCGUGGCAGCUGGGUGGUGACAUCACAGGGUUGGCUCUGUGGAAUGCGCUGGGCGCGGUCCUGCCGGCAUGGUUCCCUUCCCACCUUUGCUUCUUAAAUUAGCUUAACAGUUGACUUCAUGUGCUGGCAGCAAAUACCAGUGCUAUUAACAAUAACUGGCUCUGCGUGCUUUCUCUGUGCCACGUGAAGCUCUGAAUGCCUUCUGUGUAUUAGCUUGGUUCACUUUUACAACAGCCCCUCAAGGCAGGGACUGGUACAAUCCCUAUUUUACAGAUGACAAAAGUGAGUUGCUGAAAGAUCAGGUUAGUUGGCCAAGGUCGCAUAACUAAGUCGUGGCUCUGAAAGUCAAACCUACUCCGUCUGGCCUUGUUCUUAAGCGCCCUGACUAAUGUGCCUACUGUUUUGUAACCUGAUUUUUUUCAUGUAACAAAAUUUCAUAAAUAUUUCCCUGUCAUGCAAUAUUCAUUUACAUAUUUAAAGCGGCAAGGAGGAUUCAUGAUUUAUUUAACCAACUCCCUACUGUUAGACAUUAAAGACAUCGCGACAGCUAAACUUUUUUCUUAAUAUCCAUGCUAGUUCCUUGCAAAAGAGUCCUUAAUACCUUAGAAUGCUUGCUCCAAGGGAGUUCAAAUUACCUUCCUGAAACAUGACUCCGACUUUCAUACCCAGCAGUAUAUGAAAGCAUCCUGAUUCUCUGAAUUCUUGUUAACGUUGAAUAUUAUCAUUACAUUCUUUUCUUUGUAGCACCAAAAAUGAUAAAUCUUUUUCUAUUAAAUUUGAAGUCCUUUAAACAUUUAAAUAUAUAUUGUUCGGCUACUUGUCCAAGAUCUUUUAAUAAAUUGUCUUGUUCAUCAUGAAGUUGAAACUAGUUCAAGACUCUUCUUGCUCUGACUCAAACUACUCUAAUUUUCCUACAAGUCCUAGACAUUCACUGUAAGCACUCACAGGGAUUACUGUGGCCGAGACUGAGCCAUACGAAUGUGCUAUUUUUUUGUAGGCCCAACAGUGGUGGACUGGGGACAGUUUCAGAUGGUGAGACCUAUUAAAUCUGAAAACCUUUGUUUUCACGCUGCGUCUCCCCCUCUCCACUUGGUGGUAUCCUGCUAGUGUUUUAGAGGCUGAGUUCAUAGAACAGGUCCUCUCCGUGGUUCCCUUACCGCUCCUCCUCAGGGGUCUGUCUGCCUGCCUGUCUGUCUCUCCUUCCCUCCCUCUCUUGCCAUUCUGCAUUUGUUCCGUCCCAUCACAGCGAUGCAGCGGGCUCCCGGCAUUGCAGCUGGGUAUUCCCCUUGCACCUCCCGGCAGAGCCAAGUCCACGGUGCUGCCUCCCAGCAGAACCUCCAUCCUCCCCCGUUGGCAGCCGCAGGGACCAGCGAAGUUUCUGGUUCAGCACAUUCACACCAAAGAGCUCUUGAAUUGAAGAAUCAGUGCUUUAGGGCACCAGGGAGCGCCACAUAAUACUUGCAGUUUCCUUCCAUGGUGAAUACAGCGUGUGUCCUGCCUUCCUAACAUCUCCUGAUUUGGUCGGUGUUUUGUGUGGAAUUGCUCCUCUUUCUUUUGAACCCUACAUUGCUCUAGUUUAUUUUUUCCUGUAUUUUUAGGUGUGGUGAUGGAAUUGCAUUAUAACGAAAUUAUUUUAUUCGGUGGCAAAAUUCACAAGAAUGACACAACACAACUCUCUAACUUGCUAAAUAAGUAAUCAAUGUACUCCUGAAGGGAUGAAUUGUACUGUCUCCGUCUGUACUUUUAACCAUAUUCACUUUCUCUCUUAGUUAGACUGUCAGAAACUCUUAGUGGCUUCCAGGAAACAUGAUGCUCCAGAUAGACAGAGUUAUAACAAGCUACGGGAAACAUUAAAAAUAAAAUAUUUUGAAAUCACUUAAACGGAAUCUUUUUUAGACAAAAUCUUCUGUAUAUAAAAGGGAUUGCUAUAGAUGGGAUCUGAAGUGUCCCCAAGCCGCAUGCUAAGGUCUCAGUUGGCAUUCUACCGCGCUGCGAGGAGGUGGGAGACCCUUUAAGGGGCGGGGCCUAGUGAAAGGCCCGUCACUGGGGGCGUGGCCUUGAAGGGGAUACAGAGAUUCUGGCCCUUUCUCUUUUGCUUGGAGACCUCUGGGAGGCCUACUGCUCAAGAGAGCCAACUUACUAUGGGGCUCAAACCCAGGAUCUUCCCACUAAGCUACACCCUCAGCGUCCCCCCUUCUAUUUACUUAUUUUUAUUUUGAGACAGAGCCACACUAAGUUGCUAGUUGCCCAGGUAGGAUCCUCCUGCCUUGGCCUCCCUGAGUGCUGGGUGCCAUCGAAGGCGUGUGCCACCAGGUCCAGCUCCUUUCCUCAGGCCGGUUAUUUCAGGCAUUGUGUCACAGACAUGGAAAGCUGGCCGACCCAGGGCUUUUCUGCGCACACUCAGUCUCAGCCAGGGAAUGAUGGAACCCUGAGGGUGGGUGAGAGCCCAACGGUGUCAGUGUGUGCUCCUUGGGGACAAAAUGCCAGGUGAGAGGGAGGGAAGGAAGACCACAGUCUGGGCUGAGAUUUGGCUGGGUGUCCCACUCAAGGUCAUCUGAGCACUGGUUCAACUCCUGCUCAUCUUUUCUCCCCCACCUGCCCAGCCCUAACCAUUCCUGGAUGAGCUCAGGUUGUGCUUCUGGCUCGCAGUCCUCACGGCUGCUUGCUCUGCUUCCUCUCCAGCCACGGACAAUGCUGGCCUGUUCUUCCCUGGGCCUGUGCACUCAGCACUGCACCUUUUGUAAGUGGCCUUCUUGUGUACUAGGCAGUGGGCUCCAUGAUCAGAUCCAAAGACCCAGGAGACCUGUUUGAGAUGUUUACAAAGUGAUGGAGUGUUAUCAAUAAAAGGACAGAUAAUAGCAAGUGCUGGUGAGAAUGCAGAGAAAUUUGAAUCCUCAUGGGAACAAAAAAUGGGGUAGCCACCUUGGAAAAGUCAGUUCUUCAAAUACUCAGUUACCAUGUGACUCUGCAAGGUCACUCUUAGGUUUACUUAAAGGAAAUGAAAAUGUAUCCAUCUUGUAUGCUGAUGUUCUUAGUGGCAAUAUUUAUAAUAGCAAGAGAAAAAACAUCUUCUGCCAUCUGAGGAAUAGAUAAAUAAAAUGUGGUAUAUUCACAAAAUGGAAUAUGAUUCAGCACUUGAAAGGAAUGCAGGCUAGUGAUGGUAUAACAUGGAUGAAACUUGAAGAUAUGUUAGGUAAAAGAACCAUGUCACAAAGGCCCUCCUAUCACAGGAUCUACAUAUAUAAAAUACACAUAUAGCUAAGUAUGCAGACAGAAAAUACAUUAAUGGUUGCCUACAAUGAUGGCAAUGUCUUUUUGGGGGUAAUGUGAAUGUUCUAAAAUUAAUUAUGGUAACAGAGGUAGGUCUGUGAAUACACUAAAAUGGGUGAAUUGUAUAGUAUGUGA